AUCCUCUCUUUUUGAGAACGGCUUUAGGUUUUACAGUUAUUUUUAAAAUUUCUGAUUAUACGUUUGAAUUGCCAACAACAAAAAAAGAUUAUAUGUUUGAAAGCUAAUAUGAAAUAUGAUUAGUAAUUUAAAGGAUGUAAAUAAAAAUUAAAACUAAGACAAUUUUAAUGGGCCAACUAAUCAGCCACCAUGUCUCGAACUUGCACAAAUUAUCAGGAUGCAUAUUAAACACCUGUUUUGACGGCUGCAGAUAAGUUGGCAUAUAUCAAUCCAAUUAUGAACUUGUAAAUUAUAACUGCAAACAGCAAUGCAGUUGGGAUUUAUAUGAAAACUUAAAAUGUGUUUUUUAUUUUCUAAGAAACUUGUUAUACAAACGCAAGUAAAAAAGUUAUCGUUUGGAAACAAAACGUAUCUUUUUGAACGUCACAACCAACCUAAAAACAUAGAAACAUGUAUUAAUUAGAAAUCAUUUCUACCUCAUGAAUAGCCAGCCUCCUCUGUGAAGUUUACGAAUCUUUUUUUUUUUUUGUAAAUGUUAAAUUUAUACCACUUUUUUAAGAAUUUACAAUGUUGUGACAACCACAACUUAUUUAAGAAAAGAUAAAAGGAGCAGGAGAGAAAGCAAUAACAAGAGAGUAUCAUUAACUAGAAGGGGACAAGAACCAAAAGUAUAGCUCAAGCAAAGAAGGGGGACGGGCAGUCACGGUAGGCCUAGAGAGAGACAGCAGCCUAUCCCUCAUUGCCCGAUCCACCACCCGGAAGAAGCCUUCUCUGUAGACAAAGACGCGCCCGUGAAGAUUAAUAUAUUAUUACGAAUAUAUAUAAAUAGAUAUUGUAUUUUGAACAUAUAAUAAUUAGAAGAGGAUUCUGAGAACAACAAAGACACAUGAAAAUGAUCAGGUGCACUCGGAUACGUCCGUAUUAAAGCAUAUUGAUUUCCUUUAAAAGACAAUAUUCUUGGUGGAAAGCUUUUUCUUUGCCGCUUGCCAUUACAAGGAUGCUUUAAAUUAUUGUUUUGUACAAAAAUCAUGGGUUAGUGCUACUUGAUUUAGUAAUGCUAAGUAUUAUUAUAUGCAUAACCCAAUGUCCAACAAAGUGCUAGACAAUAGUGUAAACCGGUUAUGAAUAUAUAAUAUAAUAGUUUUUUUUGCCAAAUAUAGAAUGUAAUAGUUGGUAGACAAUCAUAGAUUAGUGUUAGGAAUUAUGAAUGUCAGAAAGAAAGAAAAUUAAUUUUAGGAAAUCUAUACUUGUUAUCUAUUUUGAUAUAUAUAUUUAAACCAAAAAAAGAUAUAUAUAUUUAAACCAAAAUUAAGGGCACGUGCAUCGCUGUAACCCCACUUGGGAUUUCAGACUUUUAAUUUUUUAAUUUUUUUUGUUUUUAAAAAAAAAAAAAAACAAAGAAAGAAUCAAUUGCAAGCCGCUACGUGUCAGUGGGGUCUGCGAAAAUCACAAAAACCCAAAAGAAGUCGAUCCUUAUCUCAUAGUUUUCCUUACCGGUUUUCUUCCUUUGUGCGGGGUCCACGCCAGAAAAUCCUUCUAAGGACCCCGCGAUGCGCAUGGUCUAAGUGUAUCUGUUGUAUGUUUUUUGAGUGGGCCUUGUUCUGUUGUGGCCUUUGGCCUUUUAAUAAAAUAAGAUGGCAAAAAAAAAAGAAAUACAUCAAAUCUAUAUACAUCGUCUGUGUCAUUACGUUUGAACGUGAGCGUAUUCAUGCAGUACGUGGUUGAAAGCUGAAUGGAAGAUCUGCCUCAGACUGAUCUCAGUCUCCCAUGAGCGUUUUUCAUAUUUUUAUUAAAUUAAUAAAUCGUUUUAAUAAUUCGAGAACUACAUAAGAGUACAUAUGUCAUUAUAUAAUAAAGGGGCCCUAUAAUAAAUGGGUAAAUAUUAUAAGUAAUAACCAAGUUGCUUUGGUCUAGUGGUAUAGGAACUCCAGAUGGAGUGUCCGCCCCUGGGUUCGAGCCUUGGCCACUGCAGAAUUUACAUAUGGGCUGCAGCAUCCGAGACCGAAGACCGUUACACGGUGAGCCACAUGGUGACGCCCUGGCAGCGUCCUUGCUCACUUCGGUCUCUAGUCUGGACCACCUCGGUGGGGCCAGGAUACUCGGUUAGCAAAAAAAAAAAAAAAAAAAA